AUUGUGAAAGGGAGGCAAAGAUCUGCACCUGCCAUGGCGGUUGGGCUCACGUGCUCCUCUGCAUUGGAGUUAGCCAAGGAGCGUGUGCAGAACACUUGCCUCGUAGGCCAGCCGUAAGGAAGGAUGUCCCAGGUGCAGGCGAGGUUUUGUUCAUGUGUUCCUGGAGGAUUUUUCCGGUGGCAAGUGCUUCUCCAUCCUCCAGCAUCUCAGGCCUGUGCACCAGCCUUCCUGUGCCCGUUGAUGGACUGAGAGGAAGAUGAGCCCUUAGGAUGCCUGCCAUGCUCAGUGUUAAGGGUUUUCAAAAGAAAUGCAGGCAGCAUGGUGCACUACAGACUCCAGCCUCCCUUUGAAGCCAGGUUCCAGAGCUUCCUCCCUUUGGCCUGGAACCUCAACAGCAGGAUUGGGAUGAGGAUGGAAGUGUACAGAUAUGCAUAUAGUAUUGCUUAUCCCCAGCUGAAAUCAAUGUUGGCAUGACAUGUUGCAAAACCAAACUGACAUUGAACAUGACUUUUUUCAGCCCUUUAAAUAGCUGUUCAUGUAGAACUUAGUUUUUUAUGGAAGACCUUGAUAAUCCUGUCUUUAGUUACUUUAGAAGUUAACUUCCUGGGUGGACUUGAAUUGAGUCUUAUUCAUCUUUAAAUUUCCAGGGUUUAGCAAAGUACCUGCUUCAGAGUAGGUGUUAAUAAAGCUAAUGCCCUUCAAAUCAACAAGAGGAUUUCCUGUGAGGGGUGGUCCUGUUUUCUGACACUCAGAUGGCUCUGAGUGUGGCAUCUCAGAAAAAAGAAAGAAAGAAAAAAAAAAAGAUUGGGCUGGGCGCGGUGGCUCACGCCUGUAAUCCCAGCACUUUGGGAGGCUGAGGCAGGUGGAUCACAAGGUCAGGAGAUCGAGACCAUCCUGGCUAACACAGUGAAACCCUGUCUCUACUAAAAAUAAAAAAAAUUUAUCCUGGCA
rnacentral:lncRNA from 1 species